AUUGAACGCUGGCGGCGUGCUUAACACAUGCAAGUCGAGCGGUAACAGGCGUAGCAAUACGUGCUGACGAGCGGCGAACGGGUGCGUAAUACAUGGGAAUCUGCCUUUUAGUGGGGAAUAACCCGGCGAAGGCCGGGCUAAUGCCGCAUAAGAUCUACGGAUGAAAGCGGGGGAUCGUAAGACCUCGCGCUGAAAGAUGAGCCCAUGCCGGAUUAGCAGUUGGUGAGGUAACGGCUCACCAAGGCGACGAUCCGUAGCUGGUCUGAGAGGACGGCCAGCCACACUGGGACUGAGACACGGCCCAGACUACCUACGGGAGGCAGCAGUGGGGAAUAUUGGACAAUGGGCGAAAGCCUGAUCCAGCGACGCCGCGUGUGUGAAGAAGGCCUGCGGG
rnacentral:rRNA from 1 species